rnacentral:rRNA from 1 species
GACGAACCGUGCGAACGUUGUUCGGAAUCACUGGGCUUAAAGGGCGCGUAGGCGGACUAUCAAGUCUGGGGUGAAAUCCUCCGGCUCAACCGGAGAACUGCCUUGGAUACUGGUAGUCUAGAGGGAGGUAGGGGUCUGCGGAACUUCCGGUGGAGCGGUGAAAUGUGUUGAUAUCGGAAGGAACGCCGGUGGCGAAAGCGGCGGACUGGGCCUCUUCUGACGCUGAGGCGCGAAAGCUAGGGGAGCAAACGGG